rnacentral:rRNA from 1 species
AUUGAACGCUGGCGGCAUGCUUUACACAUGCAAGUCGAACGGUAACAGGCCGCAAGGUGCUGACGAGUGGCGAACGGGUGAGUAAUGCAUCGGAACGUGCCCAGUCGUGGGGGAUAACGCAGCGAAAGCUGCGCUAAUACCGCAUACGAUCUCUGGAUGAAAGCGGGGGACCGAAAGGCCUCGCGCGAUUGGAGCGGCCGAUGUCAGAUUAGGUAGUUGGUGGGGUAAAGGCCCACCAAGCCAACGAUCUGUAGCUGGUCUGAGAGGACGACCAGCCACACUGGGACUGAGACACGGCCCAGACUCCUACGGGAGGCAGCAGUGGGGAAUUGUGGACAAUGGGCGCAAGCCUGACCCAGCAAUGCCGCGUGCAGGAAGAAGGCCUUCGGGUUGUAAACUGCUUUUGUACGGAACGAAACGGUCCGGGUUAAUACCCUGGGCUAAUGACGGUACCGUAAGAAUAAGCACCGGCUAACUACGUGCCAGCCGCCGCCGUAAUAC